UUUAUUAUCCAAUAGUAAUACUAAUUUUUCCAAUUUAAAUGAAAACUCCCAAUCUUCGUCGAGAAUUCAAAGACCAAAAAGAAUACACAAAUAUUGGAAUAAAGAAAAAUUAGAUAUAGUUACCAAAAUGUUAUCAAUGCCGGAAAAACAACAAAUGAAAAUAAAAGACAUCGCAAAAUAUGUCUAAAGGUAGGAUUGAAUACCUACCACCUUAUUCAUCUCAAGCAAUCAAUCCCCGCCCUAAUUCAAGAGAUUAAAUUGUUAGGAAUAUUAUUCAACUCUUACACGGAUUUAUUCCUUAUGAUUUCACUAACUUUUACAAUCACAUGCAAAGCUAUUUGGAGUUGGGUUAUCGCGGGCAACUGAUUAAUUAGGUACCAACAUCAAAUUCGUGGAAAGAUGGAAUAUUUUGAUAAAUUAUAAUUAUAUUUUUUAUGUAUUAAUUAUUUUAUCGAAAUUAUUAUAAAAGUUUAUAGUGUUAUCAUAUUUUUAUCGAAAUAAAU